rnacentral:rRNA from 1 species
ACGGAGGGUGCAAGCAUUGAUCGGAAUUACUGGGCGUAAAGGGCGCGCAGGCGGUUAGGAAAGUCAGAUGUGAAAUUCCGGGGCUCAACCCCGGAGCUGCAUUUGAAACUUCCUUUCUAGAGUUCAGUUAGGGAAAACGGAAUUCCACGUGUAGCGGUGAAAUGCGUAGAUAUGUGGAAGAACACCAGUGGUGAAGACGGUUUUCUGGGCUGAUACUGACGCUGAGGCGCGAAAGCAAGGGGAGCAAACAGG